rnacentral:rRNA from 1 species
CCGAAUUCGUCGACCCUUAAAGUGAUCCUGGCUCAGAAUCAACGCUGGCGGCGUGCCUCAGACAUGCAAGUCGAACGCGAAAGUCCCCUUCGGGGGACAAGUAGAGUGGCGCACGGGUGAGUAACACGUAGGUAAUCUACCUUUGGAUGGGGAAUAACAACCGGAAACGGUUGCUAAUACCGCAUAAUGCAGCGGCACCUAAUGGUGACAGUUGUUAAAGCGGGGGAUCGUAAGACCUCGCGUCUGAAGAGGAGCCUGCGGCAGAUUAGCUAGUUGGUAGGGUAACGGCUUACCAAGGCGAUGAUCUGUAGCCGGCCUGAGAGGGCGGUCGGCCACACUGACACUGACAUACGGGUCAGACUCCUACGGGAGGCAGCAGUCGGGAAUUUUGGGCAAUGGGCGAAAGCCUGACCCAGCAACGCCGCGUGAAGGAUGAAAUCCUUCGGGAUGUAAACUUCGCAAGAACGGGAAGAAUAAGUAAGAGCUAACAUCUCUUAUGAUGACGGUACUGUUUGUAAGCUCCGGCUAACUCCGUGCCAGCAGCCGCGGUAAUACGGGGGGAGCAAGCGUUGUUCGGAUUUACUGGGCGUAAAGGGCGGGUAGGCGGCCACUGCAAGUCGGUUGUGAAAUCUCCGGGCUUAACCCGGAAAGGUCAAUCGAUACUGCAGGGCUAGAGUGCAGAAGGGGCAACUGGAAUUCUCGGUGUAGCGGUGAAAUGCGUAGAUAUCGAGAGGAACACCUGCGGCGAAGGCGGGUUGCUGGGCUGACACUGACGCUGAACUGCGAAAGCUAGGGGAGCGAACGGGAUUAGAUACCCCGGUAGUCCUAGCCUUAAACGAUGAAUGCUUGGUGUCUGGGGUUUUAUAGUCCCCGGGUGCCGUCGCUAACGCUUUAAGCAUUCCGCCUGGGGGAGUACGGGCGCAAGACUGGAACUCAAAGGGAUUGGACGGGGACCCGCACAAGGCGGGGGAACAUGGUGGGUUUUAUUUCGACGCCAACGCGAAAAAACCUUAACCGGGGGCUUAAAAUGGCCUCUGGAACGGCCCCUAAGAGAAAAGGGGGGCUUUCCGGGG